rnacentral:lncRNA from 1 species
UCUUAACAAGCCAUCGAGGUCAGCAUACACUUUGUGCCCUUGACUACAGAAAGGCGAGCCAGUCACUCUACCCACACCUGAAUCUAUGUCUGCAGUGCACCUAGCAUCAGGGAUGGGUCUGUGGGGCAAAGGAUAUGAAGACUUUUCUUGUACUAUUCUGACUAUCUUCCAGAAUGACUGGACCCAUUUAUAACUCCAAGACUAUGUGACUUUUGUCGAAGACCUCUCAAGUCCUCCCCAAGCUGCCCACCCAAAGGGCUAGGGACUUUCCUUGAGGUCUUCUGACACUGAAUGGAUACCAGUAUGGCAUGGAGACCCUCUGCUAUCUAGUUAGCUCUCUUGCUUUAACCAGUCCACCCUUCUUUUCUGUCUUACAUUUCUCUGCUAUUGUUUAUGCUGCUUCUCUUACAUAGUUCCUCACUGGCCACCUGUGGCAGCUUAUUCACACCCACUGCUUGCCUC